rnacentral:lncRNA from 1 species
GGGAAUCAAUGGAGGUUUUGGAUUGGAAUCCUUAUGCCUUAGGUCAAAACGAAAAUUAUGAGUCAUGGGGUGUAUUAUGAGCACCGAAAUGAGGGCUUUACGUGAUGAACCAGUUUAGGAAGGCCAGACCUGUGAAUUGUCGGAGCAGAUCUGACCUUAGAAAGCAGUUUGAGCGGUUGCAUGGCAUGGACUCGCCGAGUCCGAUGAACAGACUCGGCGAGUAGCUUGAAGAUUGCCUUAGAGUGGUCCUGUCCGGGUUAUGGGUUGGAUCGGUGAGUCAGGGCGAGUUAGAGAGGGUUAACAGGUGGUCUGAGUCGAACUGGGACUCGCCGAGUUGUUCUUCAGACUCGGCGAGUUGAGUCGGGGUGGCCCCGCGAUUCUUCCAGGAGGAACUCGUCGAGUCAGGGGGGAUACUCGACGUGUAGAAAGGGAAUCUUAGAGAAUUGGUGAGAACGUGUAGACUCGCCGAGUCGCCCUAGCACUCGCCGAGUCCGGUCAAAGUUGACCGUUGACCGUUGACCGUUGACCAGAGUGGACCUGUGUUGACUUCUUAGGGAUAGUCAACAUUAGAGAUAUAAAGUGUUAACUAGGGACAUUAUGAUGAUAUAGGAGGAUUAGAGCUCGGAGAAUCGUGCACGAGGGAUUCCCAGGUUGUGAGAUAUCGAGACACGCGAGGUGAGUCUUCUCACUAUACUUUACCUUGAGUAGGUAACCAGAGUUAUAUGAUAGAGUAUUUGUAUGCUAUGUAUGUUAUGUGUUGCACUGCAUUCUUCUAUGUGAUUUAUGCUAUGCUUGUUUACAGAGUUAGAACCUGAGGGUUCACAGAGUAUGGGUGCACGGACCCACAGAGUUAUAGCCUCGAGUGGCUAAUAUGUGUUAUAUGGUAUUUUGGGGAACUCACUAAGCUUUAUGCUUACAGUGUUGGUGUUAUUUGUUUCAGGUACUAGUGAGGAUCGCGGGAAGGCGCCGGCCUGAUCAGUGCACACACGCGGGAUUUUUAUAUUAUGUGAUCUUGGGGUUUUUAUAUGUUAUGAAAUGAAUUACAAACAAUGAUGUUUUUAUGAAUAUNAUGAAGUUUGUCUUUAUUAAAUACGAAAAAAUUAUUUUAAAUUCUUGGCGUUACAAUUUGGUAUCAGAGCCUUGGUUUUAGGGAUUCGAGUACACCUUCGGGCGUAUUUGAACUCAACUGAGGAUUGAGAUGUAGUUUUCAAAAGAUUAAAAGAUUUUUGAAAAGACGCAGAGCAAGAGAUGUGUGUACGAUCAACUCGCGCCCGAACGGUGAUUUCCCAAAAUACCCUUACAUUAUGUGAUGUUAAUAUUGAUAUGAUGUAUCUGCAUGCUAGAGUAGGCUAGGCCUUGCUAUUAGAACUAGAUUGGCCUGAUUUGUGUUGCCUUAGCCUAGGGAGAGGUGAGCUGCUAUGAGAUGCUUGAGAGUGAGUAGGUAGCAGCAAGGGACUUAUGAGAGAUCUAUUAGAGAGUAAUCUACGCAUGAUAGAGUACUUGAGACCUGGAAUCCGAAGAGGAGGACUUGGAGUGUAUUCUGGUGCGGUGUGGACCGUAGUAUUGGGCCCGUACUACUGGAAGCACCGGAGCGGGGUGCAGCCCAAGUAAGAAUCUUUGGAAUGCCAAGAAUCAAGGAGGAAAGAGUUGACGAGUGUGAGUGUGUUCGUGGGGAUUCUAAAUUUAUUGUAUGUCGUAUUUCAGCGGUAGAUCAUGGUGAGGACACGUUUCACGUCCGAGAGUAGUGGUACCAAUGAAGAGGAUAUCCGCCGAAUCAUCCAGAAGGAGGUAGCUGCAGCCAUCAGGGCAGAGAUUCCGGAGAUGUUUGGGUCCAUAAAGAUUACACUGAUUGAGAUGUUCGACGAGCGUUAUGCCGCUCUUACUGAGGCUGCUGCUGCAGCGGCUACCGCAGCGGUGACUGCUGCAAGGCCGCAGGGUGGGGAUGCGUUACUAUUCCGGGAAUUCAGCAACACAAAACCACCAGAGUUCGAUGGGACCCAGGGUCCGGUGGCAGCGAUGAGGUGGAUAUCUGAUAUUGAGGGGUGCUUCUUCACUUGCUCGUCUCCUGAGCAUUUGAAGGUCCGAUUCGCGCUGAACCAGCUUCGCUUGGGAGCGAAGGACUGGUGGAAGUUUGCAACGGCGCAUUAUACGCCUGCUGAGCUUUCUGCGGUGACCUGGGAGAGGUUCACCACCAUGUUUCGAGAUGAGUACGUUCCCCAGGUGGAGAGGGAGCGUUUAGCACAGGAGUUUCUGACCCUCAAGCAGGGUACUGAGUCUGUUACAGCAAUCACGAGGAUGUUCCACGAGAGGGCGAUGUUCUGCCCUGAGCACGUGUCCACUGAGCAGGCACGUAUGAGCCGCUACUUGAGCAUCUUGAGGCGGGAUAUUCGGGAGUUCGCUGCGAACUCCUCGUACCGGACAUUUGCCGAGCUUCAGGCAAAUGCCCGGAAGAGGGAGAUCGAGCUUGAGACUCAGGCCAGGGAGGAGGCGGAGUCUCAGGGGAGGGAUCGGCGACCGGCACAGUCGCAGCCGGCCGCCAAGCGGGCCAAGCCUACUGAUCCCAGACCAGGGAGCCAGAAGGGCCGCACUUGCGGAAAGUGCGGCAAGGGGCAUGACGGAGUUUGCCGAGCGGGGUCUUGCUACAAAUGUGGCAAGGAGGGGCACAUGGCCAAGGACUGCCCCAAGGGGUUUGCAGUGUGCUUUCACUGCAACCAGACUGGACACCGGAAGGCUGAGUGUCCGCAGCUGCGCGGAGCACCUCAGGGAUCUGCUCCUGCCGCCAUCAGAGCUACAGAGAGUCGGCCUAUGAAGACCGAGGCACCGAGAGCUCGAGGGAGAGCCUUCCAGCUGACUGCGGAGGAAGUCCGCGCUGCGCCCGAUGUGGUGGCUGGUACGUUUCCUUUCAUGUAUUUAUAUUGAUGUUGAAAUAUUAUGCUUAUAUUAGGUUAUGCGUAGGUACCUUCCUUGUGAAUUCUGUGCCUGCUUUAGUGUUAUUUGACUCGGGUGCGAGUCGGUCUUUUGUAUCUUUGGCCUUUAGUCAGCAUAUCAGUGUUAGUCGUGAGGCAUUGAGUCGGCCUCUGAGAGUUUCCAUAGCUGAUGAUAGAGUGAUUUGUGCCACGGGGGUUUUCCGGGGAUGUGUGUUAGAGAUUUUCGGGGUUGAGUUUCCGAUUGACCUGAUUCCUAUCGCGAUGGGUGAUGUCUGUGUCAUUGUGGGCAUGGACUGGUUGAGCCGAUUCGGCGCAGUCAUCGACUGCGAGCGUCAGCUGGUGACUAUACGAGACCCUAGUGGGGGAGUUCUUUCGGUGUACGGCGAGGGUACGCGUUCGGGAUCAGCCUUUUGUUCGGCCGCUAGAGCGAGGCAGUGUCUACAGCAGGGCUGUAAGGGUUUUGUGGCGUAUGUGAUGGAUACGCGAGCGACUUCCGAGAGACCGAGUUCAGUUGAGGAGGUACCGGUGGUGCGUGAGUUUCCAGAUGUCUUUCCCGAGGAGCUGCCGGGAGUACCUCCUGUGAGGCAAGUGGAGUUUGGUAUUGAUUUGGUUCCGGGGGCCGCGCCUAUCGCUAAGGUGCCUUAUCGUCUUGCACCUCCAGAGAUGCAAGAGUUAUCCUCGCAGCUUCAGGAGUUGCUGGGGAAGGGAUUCAUUCGGCCGAGCAGCUCGCCGUGGGGAGCACCUAUUCUGUUCGUCAAGAAGAAAGAUGGUUCACACCGGAUGUGCAUUGAUUACCGGGAGUUGAACAAGUUGACGGUCAAGAACCGUUACCCAUUACCGAGGAUCGACGAUUUAUUUGAUCAGUUGCAGGGAGCAUCUUGGUUUUCCAAGAUCGACUUGAGGUCGGGAUAUCAUCAAGUGAAAGUGCGGGAUGAGGACGUACAGAAGACAGCAUUCAGGACGCGAUAUGGGCAUUAUGAGUUUGUGGUGAUGCCUUUUGGGCUCACCAACGCCCCGGCUGUAUUCAUGGAUCUCAUGAACAGGGUAUGUAGGCCGAUGUUGGAUCGGUCAGUGAUUGUAUUUAUCGAUGAUAUUUUGGUGUAUUCGAGAUCUAGAGAGCAGCAUGAGGAACAUUUGAGGGAGGUCCUUGGGGUUUUGAGAUCGGAGAAGCUUUAUGCAAAGUUCUCCAAGUGUGACUUCUGGUUGCGGGAGGUCCAAUUCCUAGGACAUGUUGUUAAUCAGGAAGGGAUAUUGGUCGAUCCGGCCAAGGUUGAGGCGGUGAUGAGUUGGGAGGUGCCGAAGUCACCCUCUGAGAUCAGGAGUUUCCUUGGAUUGGCAGGGUAUUAUCGGAGAUUUAUUAAGGACUUCUCCAGAAUUGCAGUGCCACUUACUAGAUUGACCCGAAAGGGGGUUGCAUUCUCAUGGGGACCCGAGCAGCAGACCUCUUUUGAGACACUUCGCCAGAGAUUGUGCGAAGCCCCGGUGUUAGCUCUCCCGGAAGGGAUGGAGGAUUUUGUAGUUUAUUGUGAUGCAUCUAUUUCGGGGUUGGGUGCAGUUCUGAUGCAAAGAGGGCAUGUAAUAGCAUAUGCAUCGAGGCAGCUGAAGCCUCACGAGACGAGAUAUCCCACGCAUGAUCUAGAGCUGGGGGCGGUAGUGUUCGCCCUCAAGAUUUGGCGUCAUUACUUGUAUGGGGUUCGUUGCACGAUAUACACGGACCAUAAGAGUUUGAAGUACUUGAUGGACCAGCCCAACCUAAACAUGCGUCAGAGGAGGUGGUUGGAUGUGGUCAAGGAUUAUGAUUGCGAGAUCCUGUACCACCCGGGCAAAGCUAAUGUGGUAGCAGAUGCGUUGAGCCGUAAGGGGGAGAGCACUCCACUACGAAAUGUAUGUUUGAGGUUGACCGUGAUAGCUCCAGUACUGGAUGCCAUUCGUGGGGCACAGUCUGAGGCUAUGCAACCGGAGAUGCAGAAGAGGGAACGGGUCGUUGGUUUGGUUUCAGAGUUCGUUACUGAUGUUCGAGGGUUGAUGACCUUUCAGGGUCGGAUUUGGGUACCGUUUGUGGGCGGUACGCGUACUACUUUGAUGGAGGAGGCACAUCGAUCGAAAUUCUCGAUCCAUCCCGGGGCUACAAAGAUGUAUUUGGAUUUGAGGAGAGAAUAUUGGUGGCCCUGCAUGAAGAGGGACGUCGCGUGGUUUGUCGAGAGGUGCUUGACCUGCCGUAGGGUUAAGGCCGAGCACCAGAGACCGCAUGGCAAGUUGCAGCCAUUGGAGGUUCCCGAGUGGAAGUGGGAACAGAUCACUAUGGAUUUCAUCACCAAAUUGCCGAGGACUGCCAGAGGAGUUGAUGCAAUUUGGGUGAUUGUAGACAGAUUGACGAAGAGCGCUCACUUCCUUGCCAUUAGUGAGAGUUCUUCAGCAGAGAAAUUGGCGGAGGUGUAUGUGAGAGAAGUAGUAUCUCGGCAUGGGGUGCCGAUCUCGAUUGUUUCAGAUCGUGAUGUGCGUUUCACUUCUAGGUUCUGGAAGAAAUUUCAUGAGGAGUUGGGUACUAGAUUGCAUUUUAGUACCGCAUAUCAUCCCCAGACAGACGGUCAGAGUGAGCGGACGAUUCAGACGCUCGAGGACAUGCUUCGGGCGUGUGUGUUGGAUUUUGGGGGUAGCUGGGAUGCGUAUUUGCCCUUGGCGGAGUUUUCCUACAACAACAGCCAUCAUUCGAGCAUCGGUAUGCCGCCCUUUGAGCUGUUGUAUGGUAGGAGGUGUCGGACCCCCAUUUGUUGGGGAGAGGUGGGACAGAGAGUGAUGGGCAGUACAGAGAUCGUGCUUCAGACGACAGAGCAGAUUCAGCAGGUUAGACAGAGGUUAUUGACCGCCCAGAGCCGACAGAAAAGUUAUGCAGACAGACGCCGGUCCGAGCUUGAGUUUCAGGUCGGCGACUUCGUACUCCUGAAGGUCUCUCCUUGGAAAGGAGUGAUUCGAUUCAGGAAGAGGGGCAAGUUGGGGCCCCGGUAUAUUGGGCCUUUUCGUGUGAUUGCGAGGGUAGGCCGGGUGGCCUACCGUUUGGAGUUGCCAACGGAAUUGAGACAGAUCCACGACACUUUUCAUGUGUCGCAAUUGAGAAAGUGUAUAGCCGAUGAGUCGGCAGUGGUUCCAUUAGAGGACAUUCAGGUGGAUGCGAGCCUGAAUUAUGCCGAGAGACCAGUGGCCAUCAGAGAUCGGAAGAUCAAGGUUCUGAGGAAUAAGGAGAUACCUCUGGUGUUAGUUCAGUGGCAGCACCGGAAGGGAUCGGAAAUGACCUGGGAGCCGGAGCGUGAGAUGCGGGAGCAGCAUCCGGAGCUAUUUUCAGAGUGAGACUUCGAGGGCGAAGUCUAGUCCUAGUGGGGGAGAGUUGUAACAGCCCGGAAUUCCAGGUAUUGUUAUAUUUAUGAUUUUGGGUGUUUUAAGAGGGGACUCGGCGAGUUGGAGCUCAGACUCGCCGAGUAGGAUCGCGGAUCUGGUCGCGGGUUCGCGACUGGACUCGGCGAGUCCGGAUAUGGACUCGGCGAGUCCGCGCUGUUUAGCGAAACCCUAACUUUCCAGGUUUGGGACAUAUAUAAGGGGCCUUAUGGCCGUCAUUGUUCACCCUAGUCCUUUGAGUGAAACCCUAAUUCGAUUGUGAGCAUCUGGAGCAAGGUAGAAGACCAUUAUUGAUCUUGGAAGUGUUAUUUUGCAAGGAAGAGGAGGCUUGGUUAAGGGAACAACAGGAGAAGCUAUAUUCUGAGAGUUGGGGACACAGAGCAACGUUAUUCAGGUAAUAUUUUCGAGUUGUUCCCUUCUAUGUUGAUGUGUAUAUGGAUUUAGGGUUUAUUGAACCCUUUUGUGGCUAGAUUGAGUGUUUCCUUAGUCCCCCAAGCGAUUGGAACCCUAUAUUGGGACCCUUGGAAGUCCAGAAUGUCCCAUGCCUGAGCAUUUCGGGAAUCAAUGGAGGUUUUGGAUUGGAAUCCUUAUGCCUUAGGUCAAAACGUCAAUUAUGAGUCAUGGGGUGUAUUAUGAGCACCGAAAUGAGGACUUUACGUGAUGAACCAGUCUAGGAAGGCCAGACCUAUGAAUUGCCGGAGCAGAUCUGACCUUAGAAAGCAGUUUGAGCGGUUGCAUGGCAUGGACUCGCCGAGUCCGAUGAACAGACUCGGCGAGUAGCUUGAAGAUUGCCUUAGAAUGGUCCUGUCCGGGUUAUGGGUUGGAUCGGUGAGUCAGGGCGAGUUAGAGAGGGUUAACAGGUGGUCUGAGUCGAACUGGGACUCGCCGAGUUGUUCUUCAGACUCGGCGAGUUGAGUCGGGGUGGCCCCGCGAUUCUUCCAGGAGGAACUCGUCGAGUCAGGGGGGAUACUCGACGUGUAGAAAGGGAAUCUUAGAGAGUUGGUGAGAACGUGUAGACUCGCCGAGUCGCCCUAGCACUCGCCGAGUCCGGUCAAAGUUGACCGUUGACCGUUGACCGUUGACCAGAGUGGACCUGUGUUGACUUCUUAGGAAUAUUCAACAUUAGAGAUAUAAAGUGUUAACUAGGGACAUUAUGAUGGUAUAGGAGGAUUAGAGCUCAGAGAAUCGGGCACGAGGGAUUCCCAGGUUGUGAGAUAUCGAGACACA